rnacentral:rRNA from 1 species
GAUGAACGCUGGCGGCGUGCCUAAUACAUGCAAGUAGAACGCUGAAGCUUGGUGCUUGCACCGAGCGGAUGAGUUGCGAACGGGUGAGUAACGCGUAGGUAACCUGCCUGGUAGCGGGGGAUAACUAUUGGAAACGAUAGCUAAUACCACAUGACAACAGUUAUUGCAUGAUAACUGUUUAAAAGGGGCAAUUGCUCCACUACCAGAUGGACCUGCGUUGUAUUAGCUAGUUGGUGAGGUAACGGCUCACCAAGGCGACGAUACAUAGCCGACCUGAGAGGGUGAUCGGCCACACUGGGACUGAGACACGGCCCAGACUCCUACGGGAGGCAGCAGUAGGGAAUCUUCGGCAAUGGACGGAAGUCUGACCGAGCAACGCCGCGUGAGUGAAGAAGGUUUUCGGAUCGUAAAGCUCUGUUGUAAGAGAAGAACGAGUGUGAGAGUGGAAAGUUCACACUGUGACGGUAUCUUACCAGAAAGGGACGGCUAACUACGUG